ACGAACGCUGGCGGCGCGCCUAACACAUGCAAGUCGAACGGAGUCAAGAGGAGCUUGCUUUUCUUGACUUAGUGGCGAACGGGUGAGUAACGCGUGAGUAACCUGCCCUGGAGUGGGGGACAACAGUUGGAAACGACUGCUAAUACCGCAUAAGCCCACGGAUCCGCAUGGAUCUGCGGGAAAAGGAUUUAUUCGCUUCAGGAUGGACUCGCGUCCAAUUAGCUAGUUGGUGAGGUAACGGCCCACCAAGGCGACGAUUGGUAGCCGGACUGAGAGGUUGAACGGCCACAUUGGGACUGAGACACGGCCCAGACUCCUACGGGAGGCAGCAGUGGGGGAUAUUGCACAAUGGGGGAAACCCUGAUGCAGCGACGCCGCGUGGAGGAAGAAGGUUUUCGGAUUGUAAACUCCUGUCGUUAGGGACGAUAAUGACGGUACCUAACAAGAAAGCACCGGCUAACUAUGUG
rnacentral:rRNA from 1 species